AAUGAGGUAGCUCAGUAGGUAGAGCAACAGGAAAAUUCGCAGGUUCGAGUCCUGCCAUCA
rnacentral:tRNA from 1 species